UGCCAGCAGCCGCGGUAAUACGGAGGGUGCAAGCGUUAAUCGGAUUCAUUGGGCGUAAAGAGCGCGUAGGCGGGAUGGUAAGUCAGAUGUGAAAGCCCGGAACUCAACUUCGGAAUUGCAUUUGAAACUACCUUUCUAGAGGAUGGACGGAGAAGGCGGAAUUCCACAUGUAGCGGUGAAAUGCGUAGAUAUGUGGAAGAACAUCCGUGGCGAAGGCGGCCUUCUAGUUUAUUCCUGACGCUGAGGCGCGAAAGCAAGGGGAGCGAACAGGAUUAGAUA
rnacentral:rRNA from 1 species